AGGAUCCUCAAAACUUGAUGCAUCACAGAACCAUCAGCAAGAAGCUCCACACUGAUAUCAAGAGACUGCAACAGUUUCAUUCUUCCCUUUAAUUAUUUGUGGCCACAUUCUCUGAGAUCAACAGCUGCCACUUCCAUUCCGUUCCUCUAAGUCAUACAAGCAGUCUUCUGUUAUCAACUGCAUGAAGUAAAUGAAAUGCUCAACAUGCUCCAGAUUCAGCACAUUUGAAUUACAUCUCAGCUGAAGGCACAACCUUGAUUUUGGAAUUCCUGUUGACAUCUCAUUAACAAUGAAGCUGAAGGAAAACUUGUCACAAAUAAAUGUAAAGGGAAUGCUGAUCUGAGGAAGGAUGCCAUUUUUUGUAGUUCAACUCUUGCUACAUACAGAAUGAUGCAGGAAACUGAUUUAUAAAGAAAAAAGCAUACUUUACCUUCACAAUAAUUUUUAAAUAUUGUGAACUAUUUUGGUUGUCUCUUCAGUUGCAACUUUGGUUGUAUUGAGUGCAAUGACUUUUUUUUUCAAACAGAAACAAAUGUAACAUAACUAUCCUUUAGCAUUCUUAAAUCAAAAGGCUUUAAAAAAUUAUUUCUUUGGAGAAAACCCUUCCGCUGGGAGUCCUAACGUUAAUGUUAUUAAAAGAAAGGUCAUUCUCUGAAACAUCCUCAAAAAUGCUGUCGCUGUUAUUUUGGCAAAGCGAUACGGGGAAGCUGUAGUUCUCUGCUCUGGAAAUAGAUGUCAACAAUGAGGAAGCUUAUCCUGAAUUAAUAACUGUGCAUGUUGACUUUCAGCUUCAAUUCAAUGGAAUAAUUACUGCACAUCGUCACAUCAACAAGCCAGCAAUCAGCAGUCUCGGUCUCAGGUCACUGACUGCCUUCUGAAAUGUUUAUUCCCCUACAACGUACAAUCUUCAUGCAAAAUCCUUGAUCUUAUUAGGCUGUUAAUUGUUAAAUAUUCCAGCAGUUGAGGACUCAAACUGUUUGUGUAUCUAUUUUUAAAUGUAUGAGUGGUAUAAGUAAAAAAAAAACAAAACAAACAAACAAAAAAACUGCUAAGAGAAACUUGAAAAUAGCAUCACCAUGAACUGGGUGAGCAAUGAUAAUCAUUAACCAUCAGAACCAGAGUGAGCAUGUAACAAGACAUGGUGCUACAGAGAAAAUGAAUUUUCUUUGUAGAGUUCACCUACUUUACUUCUGUGGAUCCCUAUUGUUUAAUUUUUGUUAAGGAUCAGGAAGGGAUAAAGCUGUUUCAAGCAAUGGCUCCAAGGAGACGCUCAAUGACAGGAUACCAGCUCUCAUCAUUCUGGGCCACUAGAAUAAAAUUCAGAAUUUGAACAAUUUUCACUGCUCAUAUGAAAUAGGGACUGCUUUUCAUUAUGUAGAUUGUUGGUUCCUGUAAAUCCCCUGCACAGAUGUGGGAGUCAUCUGCCUCAAAAUAAGUACAGAGAAGGAAGUACGUGCUUGCUCCUAAGGGGGCUGAAAUACUGGUGAUGAAAUAACAUUUUACUCUUUAAAAACCACGACAGAACCUCUGUCUUUUACCUGAGUGGGCAGAAAAUACCCUUUGUUAUCUUACUUUAAGGACUCUAAUCCAUCACUCCUUCAGGACCAAGAGGACGUAGCCUGGCAUCUCUGAGUCUGGAGGACCGUGGAAUCCUUUUGAGAACCGACCUACUGAAACAACUCGAAGAAACAAGCUGCAGCUUAACAAGCAGCACAGCUCAUUAUAUUUUGAUCUCAUUCACCAGUUUUCUCAUAUUAUGCAAUGCAGUUCUUCCAAAAAUAUCUUUAAAAUAAACAUAAGUAUUUUUUUUCCCCCAAGAAGGCUCUUUUGCUUAAAUGUGUUUAGUGCUGA
rnacentral:lncRNA from 7 species